AGUGAACGCUGGCGGUAGGCCUAACACAUGCAAGUCGAACGGCAGCACAGUAAGAGCUUGCUCUUACGGGUGGCGAGUGGCGGAUGGGUGCGGAAUACAUCCGAAUCUACUUUUUCUUGGGGGAUAACGUAGGGAAACUUACGCCAAUACCGCAUACGACCUACGGGUGAAAGCAUGGGAUCUUCGGACCUUGCGCGAUUGUAUGAGCCGAGGUCGGAUUAGCUAGUUGGCGGGGUAAAGGCCCACCAAGGCGACGAUCCGUAGCUGGUCUGAGAGGAUGAUCAGCCACACUGGAACUGAGACACGGUCCAGACUCCUACGGGAGGCAGCAGUGGGGAAUAUUGGACAAUGGGCGAAAGCCUGAUCCAGCCAUGCCGCGUGUGUGAAGAAGGCCUUCGGAUUGUAAAGCACUUUUGUUGGGAAAGAAAAGCAGCAGGUUAAUACCCCGCUGUUCUGACGGUACCCAAAGAAUAAGCACCGGCUAACUUCGUG
rnacentral:rRNA from 1 species